rnacentral:tRNA from 1 species
GCAGUGGUAGUUCAGUGCUAGAAUUCUCACCUUCCAUGUGGGAGACUCUGGUUCGAUUUUUGGCCAGUGCA